rnacentral:rRNA from 1 species
AUGGCCGCCGCCGCCGCCUCCCUCCGCCGUGUCGCCGCCGCCGCCGCCGCCCCUCGCCGCCGCUCCAUGACGGCCCAGGCGAGUCUCCUGCUGGACAUGCCUCCGGAGAUCCGGCGGGAGAUUUCAAGGGUCAAGAUGGCCGACAUCUCCGACCACCGCCAGCUCGCCCAGGAGGUGUCGCGGCUCAGCGGAGUCAUCAUCAACCAUGAGGCGGCCGCGCGCCUCAAGCCAGUGGAGGCUGCGAUGCACGUCGGGACGUUGUCCUGGCGUGUCUGCACCUCCGUGCUCACCGUGAGCAUGGCUGCAACUUUUGGCGUCGUCCAGAUCGCCAUGCCCGGGUGGAAAUCGAGGUAUGAAGACGCCGCGGUGAAGCACGCUUCUAACAUCAUUAAGAAGAAAGCGCAACAACUCGAAGAAUCACUGGCCAAAAAGCUCCGGAACAAAAAGACGUUGGUGGAGCUGGGAAAGAACUCAAUCACCACGAGGGAGGAGAAGGUAGCUGCCAAGGAGGCACAGCUCGCCGUGUGGGAGGCAGACAUUGUCAAGCGGGAGACGGGCAUGUGA